UGGCGUGAAGUCAGACCGGAAGGACUGGUGGAGCGCUUAGAAGUGAGAAUGCCGGUAUGAGUAGCGAAAGAUGGGUGAGAAUCCCAUCCACCGAAUGACUAAGGUUUCCUGAGGAAGGCUCGUCCUCUCAGGGUUAGUCGGGACCUAAGCCGAGGCCGAUAGGCGUAGGCGAUGGAUAACAGGUUGAUAUUCCUGUACCACCUCCCUACCAUUUGAGUAAUGGGGGGACACAGAAGGAUAGGGUAAGCGCACUGUUGGUUAUGUGCGUUCAAGCAGUAAGGCGUGAGAGUAGGCAAAUCCGCUCUCUAUAACGUUGAGCUGUGAUGACGAGCUCUUAUGAGCGAAGUUCCUGAUUUCACACUGUCAAGAAAAGCCUCUAGCGAGGUAGGAGGUGCCCGUACCGCAAACCGACACAGGUAGUCGAGGAGAGAAUCCUAAGGUGAGCGAGAGAACUCUCGUUAAGGAACUCGGCAAAAUGACCCCGUAACUUCGGGAGAAGGGGUGCUCUAGUAGGGUGCAAGCCCGAGAGAGCCGCAGUGAAUAGGCCCAGGCGACUGUUUAGCAAAAACACAGGUCUCUGCAAAACCGUAAGGUGACGUAUAGGGGCUGACGCCUGCCCGGUGCUGGAAGGUUAAGGGGAUUGCUUAGCGUAAGCGAAGGUGAGAACCGAAGCCCCAGUAAACGGCGGCCGUAACUAUAACGGUCCUAAGGUAGCGAAAUUCCUUGUCGGGUAAGUUCCGACCCGCACGAAAGGCGUAACGAUCUGGGCACUGUCUCAACGAGAGACUCGGUGAAAUUAUAGUACCUGUGAAGAUGCAGGUUACCCGCGACAGGACGGAAAGACCCCGUGGAGCUUUACUGUAGCCUGAUAUUGAAUUUUGGUACAGCUUGUACAGGAUAGGUAGGAGCCAGAGAAACCGGAGCGCCAGCUUCGGUGGAGGCGUCCUUGGGAUACUACCCCAGCUGUAUUGAAAUUCUAACCCAUACCCCUUAGCGGGGUAGGAGACAGUGUCAGGCGGACAGUUUGACUGGGGCGGUCGCCUCCUAAAGAGUAACGGAGGCGCCCAAAGGUUCCCUCAGAAUGGUUGGAAAUCAUUCGCAGAGUGUAAAGGCACAAGGGAGCUUGACUGCGAGACCUACAAGUCGAGCAGGGUCGAAAGACGGGCUUAGUGAUCCGGUGGUUCCGCAUGGAAGGGCCAUCGCUCAACGGAUAAAAGCUACCCCGGGGAUAACAGGCUUAUCUCCCCCAAGAGUCCACAUCGACGGGGAGGUUUGGCACCUCGAUGUCGGCUCAUCGCAUCCUGGGGCUGUAGUCGGUCCCAAGGGUUGGGCUGUUCGCCCAUUAAAGCGGUACGCGAGCUGGGUUCAGAACGUCGUGAGACAGUUCGGUCCCUAUCCGUCGUGGGCGUAGGAAAUUUGAGAGGAGCUGUCCUUAGUACGAGAGGACCGGGAUGGACACACCGCUGGUGUACCAGUUGUCUUGCCAAAGGCAUCGCUGGGUAGCUAUGUGUGGACGGGAUAAGUGCUGAAAGCAUCUAAGCAUGAAGCCCCCCUCAAGAUGAGAUUUCC
rnacentral:rRNA from 1 species